CCUACGGGAGGCAGCAGUGGGGAAUCUUGCGCAAUGGGCGAAAGCCUGACGCAGCCAUGCCGCGUGAAUGAUGAAGGUCUUAGGAUUGUAAAAUUCUUUCAGUAGGGACGAUAAUGACGGUACCUACAGAAGAAGCCCGGCUAACUUCGUGCCAGCAGCCGCGGUAAUACGAAGGGGGCGUAGCGUUGCUCGGAAUUACUGGGCGUAAAGGGAGCGUAGGCGGACAUUUAAGUCAGGGGUGAAAUCCCAGAGCUCAACUCUGGAACUGCCUUUGAUACUGGGUGUCUUGAGUGUGAUAGAGGUAUGUGGAACUCCGAGUGUAGAGGUGAAAUUCGUAGAUAUUCGGAAGAACACCAGUGGCGAAGGCGACAUACUGGAUCAUUACUGACGCUGAGGCUCGAAAGCGUGGGGAGCAAACAGGAUUAGAUACCCUGGUAGCCACGCCGUAAACGAUGAUUGNUAGUGUGGUUGUUACUACUACGUGCGCNGNACACAUANANANACGCGCGGNGUAGUCGCGAGAGUAAAUAAUAAGUUAAGUUAGUAGNGUUGAGAGNGCGACGACGACGACGAGGAGGAGG
rnacentral:rRNA from 1 species